rnacentral:rRNA from 1 species
CACUCCUACGGGAGGCAGCAGUGGGGAAUAUUGGACAAUGGGCGCAAGCCUGAUCCAGCCAUGCCGCGUGAGUGAUGAAGGCCCUAGGGUUGUAAAGCUCUUUCACCGGUGAAGAUAAUGACGGUAACCGGAGAAGAAGCCCCGGCUAACUUCGUGCCAGCAGCCGCGGUAAUACGAAGGGGGCUAGCGUUGUUCGGAUUUACUGGGCGUAAAGCGCACGUAGGCGGACUAUUAAGUCAGGGGUGAAAUCCCGGGGCUCAACCCCGGAACUGCCUUUGAUACUGGUAGUCUUGAGUUCGAGAGAGGUGAGUGGAAUUCCGAGUGUAGAGGUGAAAUUCGUAGAUAUUCGGAGGAACACCAGUGGCGAAGGCGGCUCACUGGCUCGAUACUGACGCUGAGGUGCGAAAGCGUGGGGAGCAAACAGGAUUAGAUACCCCUGUAGUCCCA